rnacentral:tRNA from 1 species
GGGGAGUAGGCGCCUAAUCCAUGGCGCACUGUAAAUUCGUCGGCUUAGCCUACCCAGGUUCGAAUCCUGGACCCGCCA